GACGAACGCUGGCGACGUGCCUAAUACAUGCAAGUCGAGCGAAGUUUUUCUGGUGCUUGCACUAGAAAAACUUAGCGGCGAACGGGUGAGUAACACGUAAAGAACCUGCCUCAUAGACUGGGACAACUAUUGGAAACGAUAGCUAAUACCGGAUAACAGUAUUUCUCGCAUGAGAGAUAUUUAAAAGUUGGUUAUGCUAACACUAUGAGAUGGCUUUGCGGUGCAUUAGCUAGUUGGUGGGGUAAAGGCCCACCAAGGCGACGAUGCAUAGCCGACCUGAGAGGGUGAUCGGCCACACUGGGACUGAGACACGGCCCAGACUCCUACGGGAGGCAGCAGUAGGGAAUCUUCCGCAAUGGGCGAAAGCCUGACGGAGCAACGCCGCGUGAGUGAAGAAGGAUUUCGGUUCGUAAAGCUCUGUUGUUAGGGAAGAAUGGAUAUGUAGUAACUAUACAUGUAAGAGACGGUACCUAACCAGAAAGCCACGGCUAACUACGUG
rnacentral:rRNA from 1 species